CUGCUUUGCUGACGAGUGGCGGACGGGUGAGUAAUGUCUGGGAAACUGCCUGAUGGAGGGGGAUAACUACUGGAAACGGUGGCUAAUACCGCAUAACGUCGCAAGACCAAAGAGGGGGACCUUCGGGCCUCUUGCCAUCAGAUGUGCCCAGAUGGGAUUAGCUUGUUGGUGAGGUAACGGCUCACCAAGGCGACGAUCCCUAGCUGGUCUGAGAGGAUGACCAGCCACACUGGAACUGAGACACGGUCCAGACUCCUACGGGAGGCAGCAGUGGGGAAUAUUGCACAAUGGGCGCAAGCCUGAUGCAGCCAUGCCGCGUGUAUGAAGAAGGCCUUCGGGUUGUAAAGUACUUUCAGCGGGGAGGAAGGUGUUGUGGUUAAUAACCACAGCAAUUGACGUUACCCGCAGAAGAAGCACCGGCUAACUCCGUGCCAGCAGCCGCGGUAAUACGGAGGGUGCAAGCGUUAAUCGGAAUUACUGGGCGUAAAGCGCACGCAGGCGGUCUGUCAAGUCGGAU
rnacentral:rRNA from 1 species